UACGUAGGUGGCAAGCGUUGUCCGGAUUUACUGGGCGUAAAGCGUAUGCAGGCGGAUACUUAAGUAGGAAGUGAAAGGUUGCAGCUCAACUGCAACACUGCUUCCUAUACUGGGUGUCUUGAGUGGCGGAGAGGGAGAUGGAACGACACGUGUAGCGGUGAAAUGCGUUGAUAUGUGUCGGAACACCAAUGGCGAAAGCAAUCUCCUGGACGCAAACUGACGCUGAGAUACGAAAGCUAAGGUAGCAAACAGG
rnacentral:rRNA from 1 species